GUACUUGACCAUUCAGUUUGUGCGGUUUCUGGAAAAGGGAAUCAAAUCAGAAGGCCAAGAUUUUGUGGGUAACUUCAGUUUUCAACAUGCUCAUAUUUUUUAAGGAGAAUGCAUCCCUGCACUGUACCCCUGUUUACUGUGGCAUGGUUAGGUCUUAUCUGGUGAAGUUGGUGGUCAAGCUCCCAAGAGAACAAAAACCUUGAUACUAAGAGAAGUCCUUGGUAAAAGCUUAACUGGUUGGAUAAUGGGUGGUCUAUCAAUCUAAGUUCAUGCAACUUGGGCCUGUGACCACCUCUCAGGCACCCACAGAGUAUACGGAGGGCUUUCUUCAGCUGGUUGCCUCCCUAGUUCACAUGGUGCAAAGAAAGGAGAUGCUGCUCGCUUUGCACGGUAUCUAGGUUUCACCUGCGCCGAGGGCACUAGCAGCAGCAGCGACACCUCCUCCAGCGGCAGAGAGGAGAGGUAGACAGGCUCCAACGCACGGCCGAGACGAGCAUCGAGGCCGAGGUAGACGCAGAGGUGCUCAGAGUCGGAGUGGCUUAGAGUCGGUUUUGAGUAAGGAUGAUACUGAGACUAGUGAUUCUGAGGAGGCAGUGAGUCAACGCUCUGAGUUUGAGAGCGGGGAUGAUGAUGCUGGCUCGGGAUCAGUAGGAAUGGCAACGGGGCGAGGCGGGGCCGGGGAUCACCCUCCCUGUCCCCGAUCCCCGAUGGUCAAAUUUUCCCCGACCCCGGCCUCGAUCCUCGAUGGGGAACGUAUCACAGCCUCCAUCCCCGUCCCCUAACGGGGAUCGGGUUUCCCCGACCCCGAACAUUCCCCGGCUUAAAAAAAAAUAUAAAUAAAAAAAUACAACCAUUCAUCAUCAUCAACUAAACAGAUUCAACAACACAGAUUUAUAAUCAUCAUCAUCCAUUAAACAGAUUCAAACAAGACAGAUCUAGAAUCAUCAUCAUCCACUAAACAGAUUCAAGCAACACUAAUCUAGAAAAUGAGAUCGGCAAUGGAGAGACUUGAGAUCGACGAUGGAGAAAAUGAGAUCUGAGGUUUUUGUCCUAAGUCGAUGUCGUCAUCUGUAGAUCGAAGUCUAGACCAGCGGUGGUGGUGGUGUCGACGACUGGUGUGCGAUCAGCGGCUGAAGAGGAGAGAUGAGAGAGCAAACGAGGUGUGAGAGAGAGAGAGUGGUGGUGGUGUUGCCGUGUCAGUGAUUGAGAGUGAGAGAGAGACGAGUCGGUGACUGUGUCGUCGUGUCGGUGAGAGUGAGAGAGAGAAGAAUGAGAGAGUGAGAGAGACAAGAGAGUUGAGAGAGUUAGAGAGAGAAUGAGAGUUGAGAGUUGAGAGAGUGAGUCAGUGAAAGAGUUGAGAGAGUCAAAGAAUGAGCGAGGUAUAUAUAUAUAUAUAAUACAACUAAACACACAGGCAGGGAUUUCUUGGGGAAAUUUCGGGGCCGGGCCGGGCCGGGGUUAGGGCCAGGGUCGGAGAAUCUAUCACCGUCCCUGGCCCAAAAAUCAUCGGGGAUGUAUUUUUCAAUACCAGCCCCGGCCCUAUGGGGAAUAAUUUUUGAAAAACCCUAUUUAUCGGGACGGGGCGGUCCGGGUCCCCGUCGGGCCGGGUUCAUAUUGCCAUCCCUAGGGAUCAGAGAGCAAGGAGGACGCUGAGGCUGGUUUUGAUUUAGAGAGCAGAAAUGAUGAUACUGGCUCUGGCUUGGAGUCCGAUUCUGAUAGCGGCACUGAUGGAGAUAGUGCCCCUAAGUCCCCUCCAAGAAAUAUGACGAAGAAGGCCUCUUGAGCUUGAUACGAUUGGCACAGAUUUUUAUACUUUUUACUUAGUUUUUAUUUUUUAUUUUAUUUUGGUAGCUUAGCACAUAUAUAGCUUCAGAUAGGCUUACUUUCGCUUUUGAAAACUUGUACUCUCUUUUGUAAAAAACUAUGAUCAAAGUAAAACCUCGUAGUUUUAUGAAAAGAGUUAUUGUUUUUGCAUCAUGAGCAUCACAUUUGCAUAGAAUGAAAAUGAAAUUGGAUUUGAAACUGAGAAUGCUUGUAUUGGAAUGAUAUUCUUAAUUGGAUAAUGAACCGACCAACGACUAAUAUACAAAAUACAACUCGAUAAAUGGAAAAUAAAGUAAAAACAACUUAAACAUGACUAUGUACACCUGCUAAAAACAAAAGACUCAAAACAAGACCCAAAACACAAAGACCAAGACAAAACCAAAAUGCCAAAUUGCCAGGCCACAAAAGUGGACUGCCGACCACAAAAAGUCGGCGGCCGGCCACUUGUGGUGAUCCACCAGUUAACUGAUAGCUGGCCUCCACUCACAGUCUUAUCUUCUACAAAAGGUCCUCCUUCUCCAUUUCUUCACUAGAACCUCAUUUUAGCCACUUUAGACGGCACGAAAAAGGUAAAUUUUUGAG